AGUUUGAAACUGUCAGGUUGCUGUCUAGGUAGCGGUUGUGCUUGCUGAGGCUGCACUUGCUGACACUGCAGCUGCGACGCGGCUAAGAGGCGCAGAGCGAGGAGUCGGGAUUUGGUCGCGAGCGGCGACGUGCAUUUGUGCAGAAUGUCAUCAGAUGAGGAGAAAUACUCACUUCCAGUUGUGCAAAAUGACUCCAGUCGAGGCAGUUCUGUCUCUUCGAAUCUUCAGAAAAUAUUGAUGAACUCUUCAUACACUCUGUACAAAGGCUUCAACCAACACAGUAAGAGGAAGAAUAUGAAGAACUGCUUCGUUAUGCUAUAGUGACUCCAAAUAUUGAACCCGGUGCUUCACAGUCAUCUCAUCCUAAGGGAGAAUUGGUGCCAGAUGUCAGAAUUUCUACAAUUCAUGAUAUUCUUCAUAGUCAAGGAAAUAACUCUGAAGUAAGAGAAACUGCAAUAGAAGUUGGAAAAGGAUGUGAUUUCCAUAUUUCAAGUCAUUCAAAGACAGAUGGUAUGAUUUUUCUUUAGCUUAUUUGUAUUAAUAUACAACAUUUUGUGGUUUGAUGAAUAUUAUCUAUGUAGUAAGAGGAAUAAUUUCAGCAUAUUACUUAUUAGCAGGAUUUUAAAAUGCUAUUAUUGCUAAUUUAAGUGAUAAUAUUUAAAAUAAUUUGAUAAGAUACCAAAAUAGUACAAUUAAGACAGGUCAAUGCAUUAUAGUGUGUAGUAUCCUUUCUUAAAAUUGCUAAGUUAGAGGGCAAAUCUUUUAAAAGAUUUAAUGGGAUAUUAGAUAGUUUGGCCAAUUCAAGUUUUUAUGUAAACCAAUGCACUGAUUCCCAACUUUCAGGCAUUUGCGUACCAGUGUAAGGAUUUUCAUCCUAUCUUUAUGCCACCUGUUACGCCAUCAUUUAGUGUUUUUCUUUAAAAGUCUGCUUUGUCUUUGUUAAAAGGGAAGAUUAGCAAAUCUUAAAGAGGCUUU
rnacentral:sRNA from 1 species